rnacentral:rRNA from 1 species
CUUAACCUGGGAACUGCAUUCGAAACUGGCAGGCUGGAGUCUCGUAGAGGGGGGUAGAAUUCCAGGUGUAAGCGGUGAAAUGCGUAGAGAUCUGGAGGAAUACCGGUGGCGAAGGCGGCCCCCUGGAAAAAAAAACGCUCAGGUGCGAAAGCGUGGGGAGCAAACAGGAUUAGAUACCCUGGUAGUCCACGCCGUAAACGAUGUCGAUUUGGAGGUUGUGCCCUUGAGGCGUGGCUUCCGGAGCUAACGCGUUAAAUCGACCGCCUGGGGAGUACGGCCGCAAGGUUAAAACUCAAAUGAAUUGACGGGGGCCCGCACAAGCGGUGGAGCAUGUGGUUUAAUUCGAUGCAACGCGAAGA